UUCCCCUUCUUCUUCCCUCCAGCUUCCUCUCCCAAGAGGAGGGUUCUGAUUUAGGAGCAGGGCUGUCAGAUUAAGCCCUUUUCUGACCCAGACACAUUCUUCACAUUUUUCUUGUGGCGAAAGCUGAUAGGCCAAGAAACACUUAUAAUGUAUUGUAAUUAGGAAACUGUUGGCUUCUGAUUGUGAUGGUGUGAGUUAUAACAUCUGUAUUGUCUCACCCUUCUAAUGAGACUGAAAAUGGAAUAAAAGUUUUUAAAAUUCCUCUCAGUUGCCCCAUCUCUGGGCCAGGAAAAGGCUUAAUCCGACAGAGGGGUGUUUUAGAGUAUGAAAGCUCAAAAUUGAGAAAGUCACGUUCCUGUGUGUGGUGUGGCCGGGCUCUCUGCUCAAGUCUGGGGAUUCUAGAGACAAUUUUACUUUUCUUGCUGUCACUCACUGCUUGCUGCCAGCCACAGUGUUUCAGGGUGAUGCAGGAUGGCACAGCUGGCAGAGCAUGGGCAGGAUUGUGAGCUCUGGAGGAGGGGUUGGAUUCAUGGCACCCUGAGCACUGUUGGUGUGCAAGGAUGAACCUGUGUGAACAGGAACCAUUUGCACUUCUCUUAGUGAGGUGUUUAAAAAGUCUGCUGGCCUGAAGCUCCCAACUACUCUGACUUAGUGAGUUUGGGUGACCCUUUACAUCUUCCCAGAGUUUAUCUAUCUUCAUGUAUGUGAGUAUUUAGAAUACCUCUAAUUUGUUUCUGUAAUUAUAACAUCAGCAAGGGAGCUUUGCCACUGUUGUUGUUCUGGUACUAAAUAUUCCCUGGUGCUUUCCCAGAGUUAGAGUAUGACUUUUUUAUUUUUACUUCUAAAGAAGAAACUAAUCUAAUUACUCCAAGACAAAGAUGGAACUAACAAAUUUCAUUGCUCUGUUUGAGCUGAGGUUAUAAGUGAAAGAUCAUCAGUAAAUAUUUUAUUUUCUGUAGUGGUUUUGCAGUUAGAGUUGAAGCCUUAUGUCAUGGCCAUUGCUAGCAUGGUACCAUUCUCAAUUUCAGGGGGAAAGAAAGCCAUCUUCAGUUUUUUUCUGCGUGAUGCUUCUGAUUUUUAACAGGGUAAAUACAUAGUCAGGAACAGAGGCUGAAGUUUUUCUAACUGUAGAAGAAAAUGCUGUUGCCACUGGUCUUCACUUCUGUUAACUUCAGCAGCCUCACAACUUCAACAAACAAGCCUUGUUUGUUUGUAAAUAUGUCCCAGAUGAAUUCCUUAUUAUUCCAAAGGAUAGUUGUGUCUAUUUGUAGCACUGGGUUCCUCGCAGGCUGUUUGUUACAUUCCCAGCCCUAAGCUGUGUGCACAUCCCUGAGCUGUAACUUUAGGUGUGAAUUUAAAGGCCUGGCUGAUGAAUAUUUUGGACCAGAACGAGGUGUGCAAUGUCUUGUUGACUUGAUUCCUUGCAGGAGCCUGUGGAGCUGCAGUGGGAAUGGGGUGCAGCUACAAAAAGCCUGAUUAGGAGUUUGCUUAGUGGGAAGGUUUGGCCAGAGAGGUUUGAGGGUGUCCCCAGAGGGAGGUGAAAGGCAGAGCUCUGUGCCCUGGGGAGGCUUUGGAACCCUUGGGGGAGAGAGGGUUGAUGGCCCUGUGUGUGCUGUCUCAGCUUGUAACUGCUGUUCCUAAAGUUAGAGAUCUCCCAGGAUUCAAAUCAGGAGAGACCAAAGCUCUGCACCGUGCCUUGCUUGUGGGCUUUGCCUCUUGCUGGGGUUUGUUUAUUGCUUACUCUGCUUUUGCAGGUUAGAGAAGUGUUUGCUGGCUGUCAGGUAUUGACUGCCUGGUGAUCAUUCUACUUGUUAUUUGCAUUGUUCCCUCUCAACUAAACUUUGUAUUGACUUCUAGUGAAGAAAAAAAAGAAACCCUGUUGUCUUUUGCUGUUAGGAUAAAGGUAUUUAGACUUUCUCUUUGUAAUCUGGCUGUAUUCCAACAUGCUUAGGAAAGAAUCAGUGCCAGAACCAGUUCUGCCCUGUAAUUUGGGUACAUCCAUGUCCAAUUCGCCAAAAAUAGAAAAGAAUUUAUCUG